UACGUAGGUGGCAAGCGUUGUCCGGAAUUAUUGGGCGUAAAGGGCUCGUAGGCGGUCUGUUGCGUCAGGCGUGAAGACUCGGGGCUUAACCCCGAGCCUGCUUCUGAUACGGGCAGACUAGAGGUAUGCAGGGGAGAACGGAAUUCCUGGUGUAGCGGUGAAAUGCGCAGAUAUCAGGAGGAACACCGGUGGCGAAGGCGGUUCUCUGGGCAUUACCUGACGCUGAGGAGCGAAAGCGUGGGGAGCAAACAGG
rnacentral:rRNA from 1 species